AAUUAACUUCUUUAUGUAUUGUAUAUGUUAUAAAUAACUAGAAGGAAUUACGUACUUUUAUAUUCAAUAAAUAAAUACAUUUAAAGCUCAGAUACUUUCACUAAAAUAGAUCCACAAAGAAGCUUGGAAUGUUCUUCUGUGGUCUUCAGAACUAUGUGUGGUGAGCAAUUAUCAGGAAUAAUACAUGUGUCUGUUUUUGAAUUCAGUAAGCCUUCUAAACAUUAUUUUAAAACUACUCCACAGAGAUGAUAAAAGGUGUAUUAAUCACCUAAAUGCCUAUAAAUUGAGAUUUAAGGUCAGAGAUAUUCCCUUAGUUUACUUAAGAUAUUCCUUGGAUAUCCCUUAGAUAUUUCCCUAGUUGUCCCACACGGGCUUGCUUGAUCACACAUCAUAUCCUGGUACAUACGAGGUUCUGAGUUAGCACUGUGGAAUUGGUGUACAAGGCUUACAAGUCAGCUUUUAAAACGUAAUAAUGAUAGCAUCUAUAAUACUAUUCUAGUGAUUCUAUGCUUUUCUUUUUGUUAAAAUCAUCCCUUAUUUUAGGAAUAAGCUAAGUAAAGAGGGAACAUGGAGUCAGACUGAAAUCUACUUCAGGGCUCACCUUUGUCGGAUGAACAGUGAACGCUCUGACAUUGACAUUCACAGCAGCAUUGCUGCCGGGUAUUGCUAUAAUUUGCUCUCUAUGAUUGUUCCUUUAAACAAAAAGCUCUGCGCUCAGCAUGCAAAGAAGUUAGAAGUGCGGGAAGGAGGGGGAACCACACAUAUAAGAGGAGAGAGAGGAAAAAACUGCAGAUCAAUCAUUUAUAAUUAACAAAAAUCCGAUUGGUGCUUUAAAUAGAGAUCAAUGUGUUCCAGGCUGCCUGGAUUGUGGGGAUGUAUUCACCUUCUGGUAACUCUCCAAGCAAGCUGUCACACCUACAGAAUCACCAUUUGUUUUCUUAACAAAGCUUCAGGGGGCGCCAGGCUCUCAUUGAAAUUUCAUUAAUCUAAUGGAGUAAAGUCCUAUAGAAAAAAAUCAAAUUCUCGUUGGACGAGAUGCUACCUGGGAAAGAUAACCUCUGUUUGAACUCUCAGACUCGGAUCUCUCUGCUAUUAGUCUGAGGAAACAGACAGCAACAACGCUGAUUACAGCCACCGGCCUCAACAAUUUUUUUUUCUAACUAGCAAUUUCGAGUGCAAGUGCCACAGUGUCAGCUAAAGAAACACAACUGCGGGUUUUCUGCAGAGCAAAAUGGUUCUGAAAUGUCACUGAAUAGCUCACAAAGGACGCCAAUCUACGACAACAGAGACAUAAGCAUAUAGGAGAAAGGGUCCACACAUCCUCCUUUCAAAGGUCACAGAAAGCUUGCUGCAGAUCAGGAAAUGUCUUCAGUUUCCAAAGCCUCUCAUAGCAUGUGGAGAAAAGAGAGAGAAAGGGAGAGAAGAGUCAUGGACCCUACUUUAUGGUUGCCAUGGAUGCAAGGUCAGCCUUCCACACUUGGAUCUACCAGCAGAGUUCAGACAGGUCAACGUGUGACCGGCUCAGGCCCUGGGGUUAAAAGUUCAAGCAGCUAUGGAAAAACCAAUAUGUCCACGCAGAGUAUGCUGUACAAUUUAUUUCAAUUUACAUCAAGCCAUGCAUAUAAAAUUUAGAUAAAUUCCAUUCAGAUCUGAUGUUGCCUGACACACAAUGUAUGCAAACAGAUGUCUGUGGGGCUUUUUCUGUGCUUUAGAAAACAACAUUAAAUUUAAAAAUAUGUCUCUGGGAUUUCUUUAUUGAAUUACAAAAUGAACAUAAUUUUAACUUAAAUGUUUUCAUUCUUUUUUCCAAUUUUUUUGUGUGGGGGUCUUAAUAAUUUCUCAGUUCUCAAUCUACUCUAUGUCAUAUUAAAGAGGAUAAUGUAUAUUUACAACUACAGCUUCAGUGUUAUUGUAGUUAUAGAUUCUAUUUAUAUCCCUUACCACUUUCCGCAAAUAUUUAGUGAUUGAUAUUUCUGAUUUAUCUCUGGUUUCUAGCCUCAUCUCCAUUCCUUUCUACUUUGAACAUAGCAAGUCCUGGAGGCUGCUGGGUCGUCUUCCAGCCACAAGGUGGCUCCCCCAAUCCCUUCUCUCAAGCCAAUCGAUGUACACCUUUGCUGAGUUCUCCAGGCGGACUACAAUUCAGAGCUAAUUAUGAUCUAUAAAUGCCAUUAUUUUCAUUGUGAAGUAAAUGGCUUAUGACCAAGACCCUGGUACACUAAGAUACAAUGCAAAAUUAGUCUUUAAAAAUAGGAGAAAGAAAAAUACCUUUGUAUUUGCCUAAUUUCUCUUCACCCAUCCUUCCAAAAGUACAACUGAGCUAUCCUUAGAGUAAAAUAAGAAAAAUAAUAAAAGGCUCCAGAGGAACCUAAUUUUGUUGUCAAUGAACAUAGUCAUAGACUAGACAAGGUCAAAUUUUAAGAAAAGUAUACAACUUAUUCUCACUUAAACUAGACCUACUUUUGGAUUUGAUAUUUUACCACAAGAGAGUUUUGAUGAGAAGACUUUGCAAAACUUUCUUAGAAGUCCCACAUCAUGCCAUCAUUGAAGAACAGUGAUCUCCAAUACUGCAAGGCUUUAAAAGGAGUGGAAAUAUUACAUAUUUCCUUUUUGUUGCUUAGCAAACAUGUUGCAUAUUUCAUAAAUGUGAUUUUUAUAGAAGACAUCAUAAUUUUCUACAGCUGAAAUAGGCAUAGAAAGACAAAUCAUUCAUCCAAUUACAUGGAAGGUCUUUCUAAAAGUCUGAGUCCUAAUUUCUCACAGUUUUUCAUUUUCUGUUCUGGAGAGAAGCUAUUUAACCUUUGGGCAAGUUUCGUUUUCCUUAUCUGUAAAAUGGAGAUAAAAAUAGGAACUAUGCCUCAUGGGAUUUUUGCCAGGAUUAAAUGAGUUAAUAUACAUAAAGCACUUACAAAAGUCCUUGUUACAUAAUAAAAGCCAUAUAAAUGUUUGUUAUUAUUAUUAUUGUUUAUUUGAGCUCAGUUCCUCCUUGACAAGUACUUCAUGACACAAUCACUUGAGAAAAAUAAACUUUCAUAGAUUUCAUAAAGACCUGAAAAGUAUCAUUUUUUUUGAUACCUGAGAGCUCUGAUCGGGGUAACUGACGGUGUAUGGGCUUUUUCUUCCUCAAGAACUUUAAAAAAUUAGCAUUUUCAUCCCAAUUCAUGGUAUUACUUUCAAUAUGACACUAAAAAAAGAAACUGCUGAUUUCCAAAUCUCAAGCAGGUUUUAGAUAACACUUUAAAAAAUGCAUCAUUUUACUAAAGCAAAAAACAACCAUAAGUAGUGGUUCUAAUAACUUGGUUCCGAUAUUUGUAUUGUAAAUAUUUUCAUGUUACUUUUCCACUAUAUUAAAAAAAAAGUCUUUAGGAGCUUACUCAUGCCAGAAUAUAACUUUGUUAAGCCUCUUGUUAAACUUAGAACGUAUGAGUCCCCUGCUUCUAACAUAAAUAAAUGUUUUGAAUUCCCC
rnacentral:lncRNA from 10 species